rnacentral:tRNA from 2 species
UAAGGUGUAAUCAAUAAUGAUAUUUCUUUUACAAGGAAAAUUAGCUGUGUUUAUGGCCACUUUAA